rnacentral:lncRNA from 1 species
AUGUAUGAGCUUGUAUGCAAGCUCUAUCAUAAUUACCUUAUUGAAGCCUACAUUGUUUGCUUUUUAUUGCUGGAAGUAGUGGGAAAGUUAGCUUUAGAAACUAUAGGUGUCAUGGUCUAACUUUUUUAGUAGGAUUGGAAAUCUCAUUCAUCAAUUGUCCUUUUUGAGAGUUAUCUGAACCAUUUUCCAUUGCAACAACACUUUUGGAACUAGAAGAUGAUUUACCAGUAGCAAGUGAAACUGAUAAUCAAGCAGCAAUAGAACCUCACAAAAACAAGCAGGGUUACAUUUCCCAAUCUGCUGUGGUAUUAUGCUGUCCGUUGGAUCUGUUGCAAAGGUUUGCUAAUC